AUUAUUAUUUUCUAUUAUUUUAUUAUAUUGAAUCAAAAUGAGUUUUAUUCAGUCAUAUUUCAUAACUCUUACAUUAUUAAUCAUUUCAGUUUUGGUUAUCCAUGCAGCUCCUGAUUACAAAGAAAUACUUUUAAAUGUUCUCUGUCAAGAGCUUCACGAAUUGAGUACAGGAUUAAACAAGGUUACUAGU